GACAUCGGAGCGCAAGCUUCGGUUGAGGCGCCGUUGGGAUACCACCCUGAUCGCAUUUGAGUUCUAACCUCGUACCGUGAUCCGGUACAGGGACCGUGUCAGGUGGGCAGUUUGACUGGGGCGGUCGCCUCCUAAAGUGUAACGGAGGCGCCCUAAGGUUCCCUCAGAAUGGUUGGAAAUCAUUCGAAGAGUGUAAAGGCAUAAGGGAGCUUGACUGCGAGACAGACACGUCGAGCAGGGACGAAAGUCGGGCUUAGUGAUCCGGUGGUACCGCAUGGAAGGGCCAUCGCUCAACGGAUAAAAGCUACCCUGGGGAUAACAGGCUUAUCUCCCCCAAGAGUCCACAUCGACGGGGAGGUUUGGCACCUCGAUGUCGGCUCAUCGCAUCCUGGGGCUGAAGUAGGUCCCAAGGGUUGGGCUGUUCGCCCAUUAAAGCGGUACGCGAGCUGGGUUCAGAACGUCGUGAGACAGUUCGGUCCCUAUCUGUCGUGGGCGUAGGAAAUUUGAGAGGAGCUGUCCUUAGUACGAGAGGACCGGGAUGGACGCACCGCUGGUGUACCAGUUGUUCCGCCAGGAGCAUCGCUGGGUAGCUACGUGCGGAAGGGAUAAGCGCUGAAAGCAUCUAAGCGUGAAGCCCCCCUCAAGAUGAGAUUUCCCAGUAUGUAAGACCCCUUGUAGACGACGAGGU
rnacentral:rRNA from 1 species